UAAGUGUUAGAAAAUUACACGUUCCUUUCCCAAGUCAUGCUGUGUGACUAAUGACUUCUCUUAUAUAGUCUUGUUUUCACUGGCUACUGUAAAGCCUUCGAUGUUUCUAAUAUUUUCUAUGUAUCUAGCUGCUGUGCAACAGGUACACAGAGCGUAACUGGGCAGUCUUGUGCUGGCCAUGGUGGUGUCCAUGAUGUGUGUGUAAUUUACAAAAGGGGCACUGAGCUCUGAAUAAUCACUGUUUCUUCUUCCAGUUGUUCUUCCCUUUUUUCCUGUACCCCUUCUCUUUCUAUAUUUUCCUUAAAGAAAUGCCCAUGUUACCAUAUGUACAAAUUCACCCUGUUAAUUUUGCCACGUUUCCCUGACUUUUUAAACAUUUGUUGAGCUUUGCCACCAGAAGAUUCCACAGCAUCAUUCCUCAGCGAGAAGCUGAGCUACUGCAGAAGAGGAAGCAGAGUCAAGGCAUUCUGGAGCUCCAGUGAGGAGAGCUUCACUGUAGGACAGAGACGGAAUCUUGUUCCCUAGAAAUGCAUACCAAAGAGCCAUAGUAAAGCUGCUCAAAGUGAUUUGUGUGCCAGGAUUCAGAAUCUCAUCUGUGCCGAGCCAGUUUAUCACACUGACUCAUGUGGUUGGCGUAGUGGUGCUGGAUGUGGACUCAGAACUGUCAAGUCCUGGAUUCAAGUGUGGGUUUCCAUCUCAUCUGUUGUUUCGCCUUCUACAAAGUUAAAAGAAUCAUUACCUCCCAGUGUGAUGCAAGGUGCUUCCACUGGCUGAACUUAACAAGAAAUGGACAAGCAAAGCAAUGC